CAUGCAAGUCGAACGAAGGCCCGGGGCUUGCCCCGGUCACCUUAGUGGCGAACGGGUGAGUAACGCGUGGGAACCUGCCCUGUGGUGGGGAAUAACAGUUGGAAACGACUGCUAAUACCGCAUACGCUCUACGGAGGAAAGGCUUCGGCCGCCGUUGGAGGGUCCCGCGUCCGAUUAGCUUGUUGGUGAGGUAACGGCUCACCAAGGCGACGAUCGGUAGCUGGUCUGAGAGGAUGAUCAGCCACACUGGAACUGAGACACGGUCCAGACUCCUACGGGAGGCAGCAGUGGGGAAUAUUGGACAAUGGGGGAAACCCUGAUCCAGCAAUGCCGCGUGAGUGAAGAAGGCCUUAGGGUUGUAAAACUCUUUCACCCGUGAAGAUGAUGACGGUAGCGGGAGAAGAAGCUCCGGCUAACUCCGUGCCAGCAGCCGCGGUAAUACGGAGGGGGCUAGCGUUGCUCGGAAUUACUGGGCGUAAAGCGCGCGUAGGCGGCGCACCAAGUGAGGCGUGAAAUCCCCGGGCUUAACCCGGGAACUGCGUUUCAUACUGGUGUGCUAGAAUCCGAGAGAGGGUAGUGGAAUUCCCAGUGUAGAGGUGAAAUUCGUAGAUAUUGGGAAGAACACCAGUGGCGAAGGCGGCUACCUGGCUCGGUAUUGACGCUGAGGUGCGAAAGCGUGGGGAGCGAACAGGAUUAGAUACCCUGGUAGUCCACGCCGUAAACGAUGAGUGCUAGUUGUCGGGCAGCAUGCUGUUCGGUGACGCAGCUAACGCGUUAAGCACUCCGCC
rnacentral:rRNA from 1 species